rnacentral:rRNA from 1 species
UUGGACCUGAUAUCAGACAAGACUACCCGCUGAACUUAAGCAUAUUAAUAAGCGGAGGAAAAGAAACUAACAAGGAUUCCCCUAGUAACGGCGAGUGAAGCGGGAUGAGCUCAAGCUUAAAAUCUCUGUGCAAGUUUUGCAUGGCGAAUUGUAGUCUAUAGAGGCGAUGUCAGUGCAGCUAUUCGGGGUAAGUUCCUUGGAAGAGGACAGCAUCGAGGGUGAUACUCCCGUUUGUACCUGAGUAGCUUGCGCGUACGACACGUUUUCUUCGAGUCGCGUUGUUUGGGACUGCAGCGCAAAGUAGGUGGUAAAUUCCAUCUAAAGCUAAAUAUUGGUGCGAGACCGAUAGCGAACAAGUACCGUGAGGGAAAGAUGAAAAGAACUUUGAAAAGAGAGUUAAAGAGUACCUGAAACUGCUGAAAGGGAAGCGAAUCGUAUCCAGUGUCUAUAAUCCGUGGCAUAUUUCAUUGGCGAGUGUGUGCGUGCGAUGCGUAAGAAGUAGCUUGCUGCUCUUUGUGUUGUUCUGCGCUUGCUUGCUGGUGCCCUGUGUCGUGGUGGGACGUCAGAGUCAGUUCGUAUGCUGCGGGAAAUGGCUAUCGAGGAGGUAGGUUAGGAGCUUGCUCUUGGCUGUUAUAUCUUGGUAUGCUAGUGGUCGUGGUUGGGACUGAGGUGCCUACAACGUGCUUUAAAGUCUUGCGGUGUCUUAUUUGGUUAACUGUUUGGAUAGCUUGCUAUGCCUAUGGCCUAAUCGAGUGAUGGAUACUGUAGGUAACUUUUGCCGUUCGGGACUUUGACGAAAUGGAGCGAUUCGGCCCGUCUUGAAACACGGACCAAGGAGUCUAACAUGUGUGCAAGUGUUAGGGUGUGGAAACCCCAGCGCGAAAUGAAAGUAAAGGGUAGCGUACGCUGCCUGAGGUAGGAAACCUUUGUUCUCAGAGGUGGCACUAUCGACCGAUCAUGAACCUUCGUGGUGAAAGAUUUGAGUAUGAGCACAUAUGUUGGUACCCGAAAGAUGGUGAACUAUGCCUGAGUAGGGUGAAGCCAGGGGAAACUCUGGUGGAAGCUCGUAGCGAUUCUGACGUGCAAAUCGAUCGUCAAACUUGGGUAUAGGGGCGAAAGACUAAUCGAACCAUCUAGUAGCUGGUUCCCUCCGAAAUUUCCCUCAGGAUAGCAGCAACUUAUUUACGAUAGUUUUAUGAGGUAAAGCGAAUGAUUAGAGGACUGGGGGAAGAAACUUCCUUCGCCUAUUCUCAAACUUUAAAUCUGUAAGACCUGCAGGUUUCUUAAUUGAACUUGUGGAUGUGAAUAUCAAGUUGCUAGUGGGCCAUACCGGGUAAGCUGGUCUGGCGAUGCGGGAUGAUCCGAACGCAAAGUUAAAGUGCCAAAAUACCCGCUCACCUAGAUACCAUAAAAGGUGUUGGUUCAUUUAGACAGCAGGACGGUGGCCAUGGAAGUCGGAAUCCGCUAAGGAGUGUGUAACAAC